rnacentral:pre_miRNA from 13 species
UUGAAGCUGCUGGGGCAGGAGAGGGAGGAGGCACAGAAGUAGGUCCAGGAGCCACUGAUGGACUUUGCUUCUGCUUUACCAGGUCCUGCAGGCCCUGA